AUGGCUAAUUUUUUUUGUAUUUUUUGUAGAGAUGGGGUUUUGCCAUGUUGCCAGGCUGGUCUCGAACUCCUGCAGUUUGCUCUCCUUGGCCUCACAAAAUGCUGGGAUUACAGGCAUGAGCUACAGCACCCAGCCCUUAUGUUUACUUUUCGUAGACAGGAAGAGUGUCUUCAUCUCUGCAUCCCUAGUGCAACAGAGCAUGAUAAAAAUUCAAUAAAUAUUUAUUGCAGAGUCUUGAUGUCUUUUGGGAAAGGAACUCUAUGGUUACCUUUACUCUAAGAUUAGAAGGGUGUUACUGAUUCUUACCUCAGAGAAGAGAAUGUCAUGGAGACAAAAUGACCUGCUUAGAGUUCUGCGCCCCCCAGCAUGGAGAGCAGAGCGCAAAGAUUUCCUCCAGACUCCCACAUUCUCCCUUGGAAUCCAAGAACUUGUCUACUAUCACAACACUUUAGUACCCAC
rnacentral:antisense_RNA from 1 species